UCAUGAUUAUAUCUUGUCAAAUUCAUUGUGAUAGUUUCGUUUGACGUUCAUAGUUGAAACUCAUAUUUGUACUCUGUAGACUAGUACAACAUAUCUAAAUUUAUUUUGAUAUUGUAGUAAUGUGCAUGCUAAUAUUUUGGAGACUUUGUGUUGAUAUCUCGUUUCAGUUUAACAUGUACAUGUUAGAACCCAUUUGUUGUGUCGCAUGU
rnacentral:lncRNA from 1 species